UUUCUUUUAGCUUAAAUUAAAGCAUCAAUUUGAAGAGUUGGGGAUAACUUUUGUUAAAGAAAC
rnacentral:tRNA from 1 species